rnacentral:rRNA from 1 species
UACGUAGGGUGCAAGCGUUAAUCGGAAUUACUGGGCGUAAAGCGUGCGCAGGCGGUUUUGUAAGUCUGUCGUGAAAUCCCCGGGCUCAACCUGGGAAUUGCGAUGGAGACUGCAAGGCUAGAAUCUGGCAGAGGGGGGUAGAAUUCCACGUGUAGCAGUGAAAUGCGUAGAGAUGUGGAGGAACACCGAUGGCGAAGGCAGCCCCCUGGGUCCAAG